CUGAGCCUCCCACUGGCUUUUCCAUUGGCUUAACGUUAUUAUAGGGGCACGGUUAUUCCUGAAAAACGGUUUAAAGCGGUUUAUUCCUCGAAAUACGGAAUCCGUUUGCAGUGUCUUGGGUCGUGCGUUAUUGCAUGGACCUGGCCGGGCUUCCUCUCUAGCUGGAGCGGCGAGCGGGCAUUGUCCUUUAAUUCAAUCAGAAGACAUUGUGCACAGGAGGAGGUGACGCAGGAACAUCAGGAACAUGAGUGAUUCCGAAAAACAGAGCAUUUCUCUGAAAGAGAAGGAUGGAGUGGAGAAGAGGGGACGGGGGAGGCCGAGAAAACAUCCGAAGGAGUCCAGUGGAUCCCCUGUUCCGAAAAGACCAAGAGGGAGGCCAAAAGGCAGCAAAAACAAAGGGCCCUCCAAGAAAAGAGCUGUGUCAUCUUCAGGAAAGAAGCUAAAGGGGAAGCCCAAGAAAGAGGAAAAAGAUCAGGCAUCUCAGGAGUGCUCGGAGGACGACGAGGAGGAUGAAGAUGAGGAGCAGUAACUGUCUCAUCCUCAGCACUACCUCAAGACACUCAACUUGGCACCACUCACUUAUCUGCAACCUGUGUUUAACAAGGGAAUGUCAUUUGCUCAGACCCCUUUCACAACUUCAGAGGACUGAUAUACAUCAUAUUCUCUCUCUCUCUCUCUCUCACUCACUCUCUCUCUCUCUCUCUCUGUAACACAAUCAGUUAUGUAAAAACUGGAAUAAUUUUAGAAAUCUGUGAAUUAGAUCAUGUAAGUGUUUAGUACAUUUAAUGGUGCUUACUGGGUGCUUUUCUACUUUUGUUCAGGUUGGCUUUUUAUGUAUUUUAUGUGGCUUCUAAGGUGAGAGUUAUAGAAUUAGAAAGAGCAAGCUAUAUGUUUUGACUGUGAUGUGUAGUGGUCCUAUAGUUUUAGUGGAGGGCUUUCUGCUUAAAUGCAGCUGUUUUAAAACACCCCUGCACCGUAAACUGGCUAGAUUUCAUUUUAUUAGAUUUGCUUUAUUAUACAUGUCGAUGAGUGAGUAUUGAACAUUUGUUGAAGGUUAAGUGUGUGUAGUUUGUGAGAUAUACUGACCACGCAUUUACGGAAUUUAGAUAAUGAGAAACCAUUCUCAGCAGUCUUUCUCAAUCUGUUGUAUUAGUUGAAUAGUGGAUGUAGGUGUUUCAAGCAUAGUUCUCACUUCACGUACAUUCCAGUAGCACUUAUCUCGUGACCAAAUUCGAUGGGCUGUUCGUCUUAGGUAUUUUGCUCACUGACAGAUUUGCCACGUUUUAUUUAACUGUUCCCAACCGGUCACUUUCUAGGACAAACGGAAAGACACCCAGGGCAAAUUGAUAACGGCUAAAGUCUUUUAUACAUUUAUCUGGUAAACACUAUUCUUUAAACGACAGUUUAUCACAAUUCAAAAUUUAUGGGUCCGUUCAAAUACUACUGGGAGUUUACAAUGAACACUUGUGAAAUAAUGCUCGCUUGACCAGCUAUACCUCAGUACCAUGGCUUGUGCUCGUGACAAGCCCACAUUUUUGUUGUAAUAAUGACUGUUUUUACUCUGAGCUUACAUCACACGUUUCAUCCAUGCCCAUUUUCUGAACCAUUGCAACAAUAUGCAUUACCCACCUCAGGAAUUACAGUGUACAGAAAGGCAGCAAAAGACCAAGGUAGUGUUCAGAUAGCACUGAUGACUUCUGUAUAGAAUAUGUUUGUCUUUUCACUUGGAAAUAGCCUUUGCCCUGCACCUAUUUUUGAUGCAGCUGAGGAAUUGUCUACAAACUUUUUUAGGCUUAUACCACAUUUUGUUGAUGCAGCAGCAGGAUACAUAUUUAUUUCAUGUUUAAUUAAGAACUAAAUUGUACCUGUGUAGCAUGUUGUGUUGUUAAUAAAAUACAUUUUCUCA